rnacentral:rRNA from 1 species
AGCGAACGCUGGCGGCAGGCUUAACACAUGCAAGUCGAAGCGGGCACCUUCGGGUGUCAGCGGCAGACGGGUGAGUAACACGUGGGAACGUACCCUUUGGUUCGGAACAACUCUGGGGAAACUGGAGCUAAUACCGGAUACGCCCUUUUGGGGAAAGGUUUACCGCCGAAGGAUCGGCCCGCGUCUGAUUAGCUAGUUGGUGAGGUAACGGCUCACCAAGGCGACGAUCAGUAGCUGGUCUGAGAGGAUGAUCAGCCACACUGGGACCUGAGACACGGCCCAGACUCCUACGGGAGGCAGCAGUGGGAAUAUUGGACAAUGGGCGCAAGCCUGAUCCAGCCAUGCCGCGUGAGUGAUGAAGGCCUUAGGGUUGUAAAGCU